rnacentral:rRNA from 1 species
CACACCGCCCGUCACGCCAUGGGAGUUAGUGUUGCCUGAAAAGAUUGAGCUAACCGCAAGGGAGGCAGCCGGCCACGGUAGGGUCAGCGACUGGGGUG